UGUAGAGAAUCUGCCCUGUACUGGGGGACAACAGAGGGAAACUUCUGCUAAUACCCCAUAUGAGCGUACCUGCGAUAGGUAUUCUUGAAAGUUCCGGCGGUACAGGAUGAGUCUGCAUCUGAUUAGCUAGUUGGUGGUGUAAUGGACUACCAAGGCGACGAUCAGUAGCUGGUUUGAGAGGAUGAUCAGCCACAAUGGGACUGAGACACGGCCCAUACUCCUACGGAAGGCAGCAG
rnacentral:rRNA from 1 species